UGAUUCAGCAAGCAGAUCAAUGCCCAGUGUGUGCCACUGCUGCCAGACAUGCCCCUGACCUUCUGUUAUGCAUGAUCAAAACUCAUAACAAGAAAAAGUGAUGAUCUGAAAUUUUUCAAUAAGUUACAGAAAUACGGUGUGCAUUCUUUCUUAUCAGUAUGAGAUCAUGUUUAUUGUAUUAUAGGAUGGACCAUGAUCGAAGCAUGGGCAACAGUCGUUACCGUUAUGAGGAGGAGGAGGACCAUCAGUCUAUCUACAUUGGUGUGCCAGCGCCCCGCGGUUACCGUCGCAAACGCAGGAGGAGACGUUCGUCUGUGUUGAGUCAUGAUGCAGACGCAGAACGAAGACUUAGACACGACCAUCACAGACACGAACACUACGACUGUGAUGACAGAGACCGCUACGAUCUGGAGGCGGGAGGCCUGGAUCAACCAGAGCACAAUCUACCACCAGACAUCAACAGAACCAGUGAGUCCUUAAUAAGCUCUGAAACAGAGCUAAAGUCAUUCAAAUAAGUGAUUUGUAAGUGUUUCCUUUAUUACAUCAUAUGAUGAUACAUAUGAGUGAGCAGGAUGUAAACUAAACCUUUACCAACACAGAACUUUCCACAUACUUUAUUGCCAAUAUGGUGAUCCAACAGACUUGUGAUACAAAAAAAAAAAAAAAAAAAAAAAACUUAAUGCAUAUAGGUGCAAGAGAUGGGAAACAGUUAAAUUCAAAUACCCAGUGAGGCAAUAGAUUCAAGGAAAUGUAUCUGAAAGUUAGAAUGCAAAUUCAAGGGGACGACAGGGAGCAAUACCACCAAGUGAAUCAAAAAAAAAAAAAAAAAAAAAAAAACUUUAAAAAUAGCAUAUAGGUGCAAGAGAUGGGAAACAGUUAAAUUCAAAUACCCAGUGAGGCAAUAGAUUCAAGGAAAUGUAUCUGAAAGUUAGAAUGCAAAUUCAAGGGGACGACAGGGAGCAAUACCACCAUACAUUUCUUUGUUUGUGUGUGUGAAAUGGAGUUGUGCUGAGUUUAUCGGAUAUACCCCGCACACUCACUCUCAAUCUCUUGGUGAGCCGAGGGCAGGAUAGAGCCGUCACUGCAGAAUAGAAGACCAUGAAAAACAAUUAUGGUGAUGCAUCUCUAAACGCAUGAGAAUAAACAACUUGUGGUGCAUCAAAGUUUGCAUUCAGCACAGAACAGAGAAAUAAGCACGUUCAAAGAAAAUGCACUUUCAUUUGUUAUUUUUAUGCUAUAUUAGCCUAUAAUAAUAAACUUGUCAUCUAUAAAAUGGGCCAUAUUUUAGGUCAAAACAACAUACCGUGCUAUAAUGUAUUAUUUAUGAGUUCUGAUUUAUAAGUUGCAUUCAGUAUAGAGCUGAUCAGUAAUCCUAAAACCCAGAAGCGAUUUAAAAAUUAGCCAUGGAUUUUCUAGGGAAUUUCCAAUGGGUUUUUAGAGAAGAUGUGUUUGAUUUAUGAGGAAAAUAAGCUCUUUUAUGGUAUACAUUCAUACCUCAAACAUGAAAUUUAAUGGCUGUGUUUUUAGUUGCUAGCAGGUGUUAUUUUAAUAUUAUAUUUAUAGUAGCUGAAGCUGUUUAUAUUUUCGAUUAGCUUUCAUUUGUAUAUUUUCAGUUUGCAUUUUAAUUUUGGUUUUGGUUUUAGAAUUUUUGUUUGUUUAAAUAGAUUUUUUUUAAAUAACCAUUAACUACUGUAGCAUUCUCUAUUCUUUUUUUCUAUCUACUUGUUAUUUAUAUAUAUAUAUAUAUAUAUAUAUAUAUAUAUAUAUAUAUAUAUAUAUACAUUAAAUCCAUAGCAAAUUAAGGGAACCCAUGGCAAAUUGGCCUUCAUGAUUGGCCUACAAAUUAACAUAAUGUCUAAGCACUGUAUUAUUGAUAACCUCCCAUUUUUUCAACAUUAUGACAUGGACUAAAAAAGGCCAUAAACUCCUUUGCUGCUGACAUGAGACUCAAUGUUAUCUACCUUCCCUCACUUAUUCUCAGCUGUGAGUAACUACAACUCAUCAUACACUGAGAAAAAAAAGUAACAUUUGCUUAAUUUUUCUUUUGCAAGAUUUUGCACACAUAUUUAAGUCACAUUUAAGUAUGGAAGUAAAAUCUACUUAACUAUGUUAUCUACUUAGGUUUACUCUGCAAUACUCACAGUCACAGUUUGUCAACUUUACUCAAACAAUGUGGCACUGAAAAAAGACAUGCUAUUAAAGUAUGUGGUUCACUUACAAACAUGUAAGUAAGCAACAGCAUGUUAUCCUUUUUAAGAUAAUAAGUCUGCUCAACAUAGUUAUAACCCAAAUGAACACAGAGACCUCAAAACUUGGUACACAAUAUUUUGAGUAGAAAAUAAACUCCAGGUGUCACAAAACAGCAAGUUACUAAACCAUAAAACACUGUAAAUGCAACUCGUAAACAGUGAAAAAUGUAACCUUAUUAAGUAUUCAUGACCCAGCAUAAUGGGAACAAUGGGGUCAUAACUUUGAUAUUUACUUAGAGAAUCCUUGUAAACAUAAUCCUUGCAAACACUUUUUUAUUCUUGCCUGAACUAAAUUAUUUAAUGUAGAAAUUACAUUGUUUUUCUGUAGUAUUUACUUCACUACAAAAUCAUUUUUUAUCAGUGCACUGCAGCAUCAGCA
rnacentral:lncRNA from 1 species